UUAAUAAAUUAUGUUUUUGCUCAGACGACGUUGUGACAGAGUUUAUGUAUGGUCUCUGGCGGGACAGAGCUGCCCCGCCAAAGCAACAGAGGUAAGAUAAGCAGGGGUGGAGAUGCGGCCCGGAGGCCACGAUUCUCAUUAAUGAUCCUUCCGCAGGUUCACCUACGGAAA
rnacentral:misc_RNA from 1 species